UACAGAGGGUGCGAGCGUUAAUCGGAUUUACUGGGCGUAAAGGGCGCGUAGGCGGUUGUGAGAGUGUGAUCGUGAAAGCCCCGGGCUUAACCUGGGAAGUGCAUCGCAAACGGUCAUGACUGGAGUAUAAGAGAGGGUGGCGGAAUUUCCGGUGUAGCGGUGAAAUGCGUAGAGAUCGGAAGGAACGUCAAUGGCGAAGGCAGCCACCUGGCUUAAUACGUGACGCUGAGGCGCGAAAGCGU
rnacentral:rRNA from 1 species